AGAAGGUCCUGCAUGCUCUUUGCUCAGUUUACUCCAUGUUUACAUUCUACAUAACUUAGUACAGUAGCAAAACCAGAAAGCUUUAAAUAGAGAUACUGGGAACGAUUAACUGUGUCAGAAUCACAAAGUUCUGCUGCUUUACAGAUUAAUUGUAGAGACAUUAUGCCGAUGCUUUAAAAGGCAGAAAGAACCUGGAUGCAGAAUGGAGGGUCACAGCAGGAUCGUGGCCAAUGACACUUCCUGCCCAGGAAGUGUCCACAGGAGGAGUCUUUGAAGACUAGCAAGAAAAUGCAGGGCACCUUCCUGGAUGCAUCAACCUUGACCUCAGUGGUCUAUAAUAGCCCUGCAGUCCAGAGGUCCCGCUACUAGAAAUUCUAAGUGUUGGAGACAAAAGUGAAAUGCCAAGGGGGAAUGCUGUCUCCUCUGGGAAAGCAAAAUAUUUACCUGAGAAAGAAAAUCUCCUAAAAGCUUUCUAUACCAUCCAUCCAUCCAUCCAACCAUCCAUCCAUCUAUCCAUCUAUCCAUCUUCCCUUCCCUUCCCUUCCUUUCCCUUCCCUUCCCUUCCCUUUCCUUUCCUUCCUUUUUCUUGUCUUCUUAUGGAGUAUGUCUGCUGAGAGGAUCAGAUUACAUGGAAUCAGAUUAAUUGUAGAUUUCUACAUGUGAUACAAUCCAGUAUAUUGGCCACGAUUGGCUAUGAAACCAGUAGCACAAAAUGGCAGAGUUUCCCAGGAUGGCCAAGACUGGCCUGGAAAAUCUGGGCAAGUGUGUUCUCUGAGACCAAUUCCAUAUAUUCAGGCUCCGUUUUGUAUUAGUUUCUUGAAUUCAAAUAAAGAAUCCAAUGUUGCUUUAAGAAAUAAUUUUGGCAAAAUCAAAUACAAAAUACAUUGUAUGAGGAUGGAGUCACAUCACAGUGAAAGAAAAAAAUACUUGAUUACAUAGAAUUAUUAAUUGGAAAACUAGGAGAAAAGUGUUGAUCAUGAGUUCGAUGUAAAACUGUGCUAGAAAUGUUUAUCAAGACCUACUAUUUGUAAAACACAUUGCUAUGGAGUUAGGCCUCUGUUAGCAGAGUUUAAAUUCAGUUUUUCUUUCAAAGAAUAUCAUUAGCUGGCAGGACAAACAGGGAAACAGGGUUAAAGAAACUUUAAAGAUGUUUCCUAGCCAUGUUCCCAUCAAUACGUUUGCUCAAGUCUAACAGCUGUUAUUCCCGAUAGCUACUGAAUGCAGACAGCAUGGUUAAAUGCCUAGACAUUCUUUGUGGAGUACAGUCAUAAAUUCACAGUUGUCGGUGCUCCAACUGUUGGAACUAAGAGUGACUAAGAAUUAAAACUGGGAAUCCCGGAAGUCCUGACCAGAGAAAUCAGGCAAGAGAGAGAAAUAAAAGGCAUCCUAGCAGGGAAAGGGGGAAGUCAAAUUAUCUGUUCUCACUAAUGCGAUUUGAUACCUGGAAAACCCCAAAGACUCUGUCAAAAGGCUCCAGAACUCAUACAUGACCUCAGUAAAAAGUUUCAGGAUACAAAGUCAAUAUACAAAAUUCAGUAGCAUUUCCAAUAACAUUUGAACUGAGAGCAAAUCAAGAACAUAAUCCCAUUCACAAUAGCCACAAGAAAUAAAAUACCGAGGAAUACAUCUGACCAAGGAGGUGAAGGAUCUCUACAAAGAUAACUACAAAACGCUGCUGAAGGAAAUCAUAGAUAACACAAACAAAUAUGCUUAUGGCUUGGAAGAAUCAGCAUCAUUAAAAUGGCACGAUGCCCAAAGCAAUGUGCAGAUUCAACACCAUUCCUAUCAAACUAGCAAUGUCAUUUUUCACAGAAUUAGAAAAAAAAAACUAUUCUAGAAUUCACGUGGAACAAAAAAAGAGCCCAAACAUCCAAAGCAAUCCUAAGCAAAAAGAACAAAGCUGGAAACAUCACAUUACCUGAUUUCAAACUAUGCUAUAAAGCUACAGUAACCAAAACAGCAUGGUACUGGUACAAAAACAGACGUAUGGACCAAAAGAAUGAACAGAUAACCCAGAAAUAAAGCUGCACACCUAGAGCCACCUGAUCUUCAACAAAGUUGACAAAAAUAAGCAACAGGGAAAGGACACCCCACUCAAUAAAUGGUCCUAGGAUAGCUGGCUAUCUAUAUGCAGAAGAGUGCAACUGGACCCCUACCUUUCACUAUAUACAAAAGUCAAUGCAAGACAGAUUAAAGACUUAAAUAUAAGACGACAAACCAUAAGAAUCCUAGAAAAAAACCUAGGAAACGCCAUUCUGGACAUUGGCCUUGGUAAAUAAUUUAUGACUAGGUCCUCAAAAGCAAUUGCAACAGAAACAAAAAUUGAGAAGUGAGACCUAAUUAAACCGAAGAGCUUCUUCAUAGAAAGAGAAAUUAUCAACAGAGUAAAUAGACAGCCUACAGAAUAGGAGAAAAUAUUUGCAAACUAUGCAUCCAACAGAGGUCUAAUAUCCAGAAUCUAUAAGAAACUUAAUGAAUUAAACAAGCAAAAACCAAAUAACUCCAUUAAAAAAGUGGGCCAAAGACAUGAAUAGACAUUUCUCAAAAGAAGACAUGCCAAUGGCCCACAAACAUGUGAAAAAAUGCUCAACAUCACUGAUCAUCAGAGAAAUGCAAGUCAAAACCACAAUGAGAUGCCUUUGCACACCAGUCAGAAUGGCCAUUAUUAUUAUUAUUAUUUUUAAAGUCAAUAAAUUUACUCAAGGAAUUCCAUGGUGUGAUUUCUUCCUCUGUCCAUCAAGGUCACUUUAUUUAGAGAGCUGGAGUAACAAUUUGUCUUCAAAAGAUUUAUUUUCAAGUUAGCCCUUUUUAAUGAAACUGAUGCUUAUUUUAAUCCAGUGGUCCUGUCAGCCUAUAAUUCUUUUAUUUUGGCUUCUGUCAUCUCCUUUUAAUAUGGAUAGACUGAUGAAGACUUCAAAAUUCACCUAGGAAAAAAUCAAGAAUCUUUGGGAUCUAAUUUCUUCAACCGAUUUAUUUUGGGGCCAUUUUUAGUGUAGGUGGACCUGAGAGUGGCCAUUAUUAAAGUAAAAAUCAGCAACAACAAAAACAAACAAACAAAAAAACCCCACAUGUUGGUGAGGAUGCAGAGGAAAGGGAAUGCUCAUGCACUGUUGGUGGAAAUGUAAAGUGUUCAGCCACUGUGGAAGGCAGUUUGGAGAUUUCUUAACUUAGAACAGAACUACCAUUUGACCCAGCAAUCCCAUUACUGGGUAUGUACCCAAAGGAAAACAAUCAUUCUACCAAAGAGACACAUGUAUGUGUGUGUUCAUCGUAGCAUUAUUCACCAUAGCAAAGACAUGAAAUCAACCUAGAUGCCCAUCAAUGGUGGACUGGAUAAAGAAAAUGUGGUACAUUUACAUAAUGGAAUACUAUGCAGCCAUAAAAAAACAAAAUCACGUCUUUGCAACAACAUGGAUGCAGCUACGAGUCAUCACCCUAAGCAAAUUAAUGCAGGAACAGAAAACCAAAUGCCAUGUGUUCUCACUUAUGAGUGGGAGCUAAACUUUGGGUACUCAUAGACAUAAAGAUGGCGACAAUAGACACAGGGGAGGACUAGAAGUGGGAGGGAGAAAGUGGGGCAAGGGCUGCAAAAGUAACUGUUGGUACUAUCCUCAGUCUGUGAGCAUCACACAACAUGCCCAUGUGACAAUCUUGCACAUGUACCCCCAAAUCUAAAAUAAAAUGGAAAUUAUUAAAAAAUGAAAAUAAAAUAAAAACAAACCUGGGAAUCCUAAAUGUCUGGGUUACGUGGCCAUCUUUAAGAUUCUAAAAUCAUGAGUUGAAAGAAAAUGACUAUAUUCACACAUGGCUCUAACAGUUGUAUAUAUUGAAUAGUCUGAAAAAAUAUAUUUUUUCUGGUACUUGACCAUUUCAGUUACUCACCACUGUUACCAACAGGCCUGGGUAACAGCCUCUUCUGAGUGGACUUCUAAGACUGUGGUCAUGGAAAUGCAGCUCAGGGACCACUGUGUGACAAGCAGAGUGGAAGC
rnacentral:lncRNA from 1 species